rnacentral:rRNA from 1 species
GACGAACGCUGGCGGCGUGCUUAACACAUGCAAGUCGAACGAAGAGCGAUGGAAGCUUGCUUCUAUCAAUCUUAGUGGCGAACGGGUGAGUAACGCGUAAUCAACCUGCCCUUCAGAGGGGGACAACAGUUGGAAACGACUGCUAAUACCGCAUACGAUCUAAUCUCGGCAUCGAGGAUAGAUGAAAGGUGGCCUCUACAUGUAAGCUAUCACUGAAGGAGGGGAUUGCGUCUGAUUAGCUAGUUGGAGGGGUAACGGCCCACCAAGGCGAUGAUCAGUAGCCGGUCUGAGAGGAUGAACGGCCACAUUGGGACUGAGACACGGCCCAGACUCCUACGGGAGGCAGCAGUGGGGAAUCUUCCGCAAUGGACGAAAGUCUGACGGAGCAACGCCGCGUGAGUGAUGACGGCCUUCGGGUUGUAAAGCUCUGUUAAUCGGGACGAAAGGCCUUCUUGCGAAUAGUGAGAGGGAUUGACGGUACCGGAAGAGAAAGCCACGGCUAACUACGUG